rnacentral:rRNA from 1 species
AUUGAACGCUGGCGGUAUGCUUAACACAUGCAAGUCGAACGGCAGCAUGGGGUGCUUGCACCCUGAUGGCGAGUGGCGGACGGGUGAGUAACACGUAGGAAUCUACCUAGUAGCGGGGGAUAACCCGAGGAAACUCGGGCUAAUACCGCAUAAUCUCUACGGAGGAAAGAGGGCCUCUUCUUGAAAGCUCUUACUAUUAGAUGAGCCUGCGCCGGAUUAGCUAGUUGGUGGGGUAAAGGCCUACCAAGGCGACGAUCCGUAGCUGGUCUGAGAGGAUGAUCAGCCACACUGGGACUGAGACACGGCCCAGACUCCUACGGGAGGCAGCAGUGGGGAAUAUUGGACAAUGGGGGCAACCCUGAUCCAGCAAUACCGCGUGUGUGAAGAAGGCCUUAGGGCUGUAAAGCACUUUCAGUAGGGAAGAAUGGCGUAUGCUUAAUACGUAUACGAGGUGACGUUACCUACAGAAGAAGCACCGGCUAACUCUGUG